rnacentral:rRNA from 1 species
UACGGAGGGUGCAAGCGUUGUUCGGAAUUAUUGGGCGUAAAGCGCGCGCAGGCGGUGGGGUAAGUCCAUGGGGGAAAUGCCGGAGCUCAACUCCGCGCCCGCCCAGGAUACUGCCUUACUGGAGACACGUAGAGGCGAGCGGAAUUCCGGGUGUAGCGGUGGAAUGCGUAGAGAUCCGGAGGAACACCAAUGGCGAAGGCAGCUCGCUGGGACGGUACUGACGCUGAGACGCGAAAGCGUGGGGAGCAAACAGG